AUGGAGCUGGGAAAAGAAAGAUCUUCGCAAAUUAGAGUGCUGAGAAAUCACCAACCAUAUGAAAUUUAGCAAGAGAAAGUGAUGGAUUCCUCACCUCUAACAGGAGAAACCUGAAUAUAUAUGCAGAUGGGGGGACGAGUGGAUGAAGAAGAGCUCUGUGGAAAGGGAUCUGGGGGUUCUGGUUCAUGACAAGCUGAAUGUGAGUCAACAGUAUGCCCUGAUAAUCAGAAAGACUAACUGUAUCCUGUUGGGUAUCAGGCAUAGCACUGCCUAAUGGCAAUACACAUGAAGUCAUUUGGUUUGUUCAGCAUAGAGAAUAAGAUAUCGAGAGCUAAUGUCAUUGGGGUCUACAACUUUCUCACAAAAGGAAACAGGGACAAGGCACUGAUCACUUUCAUCUAGAGACCAGAGAUAGGACCUAAGGGAACUGCGUCAAGCUGCAUCAGGGGAAAUUCAGAUUGAAUAUUAGGAAAAGGUUCUUCACUGAGAGGAGUGAUCACUCUUCUGGGAGUUGAUAUGAGCUGGCAACUAUCUUCAGGAUUUUCUUGCUGAAGAUGACCCAUUGUCAGGGCUUCCUUCAGGCUGCCAGGAACAGCGUGUGCAGCUGUAAUGGUCAUGACCUGUGAGGGUUGAAUAGCCUCAAGAGUAGAGGACUUGCAGAGAUACCUUGUCAAAUCAGAGGUCAAUUAUCAAACCAGAUUAUGUCACAGCAGACACCAGGAAUGAUGGGACAACAUCUGCAUAUCAACACCUGGAGAGAUACUAUCUAUUCUGAGAAGAUGCCACCCAAAAAGCACCACCUAGAACUUGAACGGAAGAAUCAAGGAGGAAGUGACCCCAAGCUCAGAAAAUUAGAUUGGCUAAAAAGUACAGUUUGAAUUGGAACUAUAUAAGGGCAGAGUUAUGGUAGUUUUUAUAACUAUGAGAUCCAAAGUAACGAGGUUUCUCCUUGGAGACGCUUAUUUUGAGCUGUAAAUCAUAAGAACUACAAAUAAAUGAGGACAGUCUAUCUGAGAUACUGGAAGCAGAAGUCAAGGCUUGAACAAGAGAAUGUUGGAGGUGACAGCAGCAUGAUUCCUUCAACACAAGGUGGAGUGUAAUUCUUGCAAAGUUUCUGGAGUCCCAGGUAGGACCCUAGGUGAUGGCCAUGAGACCUUGCAGCCAAGAGCAAGAAUUUUCAGCUGGAAUCCCAGGGGUCUGGAAAGAGGAAAGAAUGAAUCCAAAAGAUGAAAAUACUACAAGGGGUCAUCCCAUGUCCUAACGGAACUGCUGAAGAAAAUGAAGGAGGCAGCAUGUGGAACUGACCAACAGACUGUGCAGAAGGAGGCAAUGACAGAAGGCAGCAAUCCCACCCUGCCAAUCUCUGACAAAGAAACACAGGCAGCACAAACAACCGGCAUGCCAGAUCCCCUGGCUGCUGGACAUGGUGGUGUCCCAGGUUGCAGCUGUAGCCUCCCUGACUUCCUCAGGCCGAAUCAUCAUCUUUCCCAGUUCCAGAGGAAUUUCCUGAAUUGCCACCCCUCCCCAGCUGGAUCCAUGUUACCUUUCUCGUGGAUACAAUACAGUCUGAGAAGAGAACAAGCAAUGACGAGAAGGCCAGAAAUCCAUCGGUUGUUGGACCACAUGGAAAGACAUGGAGGAAAAUCACAGAAUCACAGCAUAUCAAGGAUUGGAAGGGACCUCUAAAGACCAUCCAGUCCAACCCCCCUGCUGGAGCAGGAACACCUAGAUCUGGUCACACAGGAACGCGUCCAGGUGGAUUUUGAAUGCCUCCAGAGAAGGGGACCCCAGAACCUCUCUGGGCAGCCUGUUCCAGUGCUCUGUCACCAUCACUGUAAAGAAGUUUUUUCUCAUAUUUAUGUGGAACCUCCUGUGUUCCAGCUUGCAUCCAUUUCUCCUUGUCCUAUCAUUGGAUGUCACUGAAAAGAGCCGGGCUCCUCAAUACAACAAAGGUCUU
rnacentral:lncRNA from 7 species